rnacentral:rRNA from 1 species
ACGACUGCUAAUACCGCAUGACGCAUAGGGGUCGCAUGAUUCUUAUGCCAAAGAUUUAUCGCUUCAAGAUGGCCUCGCGUCUGAUUAGCUGGUUGGCGGGGUAACGGCCCACCAAGGCGACGAUCAGUAGCCGGACUGAGAGGUUGAACGGCCACAUUGGGACUGAGAUACGGCCCAGACUCCUACGGGAGGCAGCAGUGGGGAAUAUUGGGCAAUGGGCGCAAGCCUGACCCAGCAACGCCGCGUGAAGGAAGAAGGCUUUCGGGUUGUAAACUUCUUUUAAGAGGGAAGAGCAGAAGACGGUACCUCUAGAAUAAGCCACGGCUAACUACGUGCCAGCAGCCGCGGUAAUACGUAGGUGGCAAGCGUUGUCCGGAUUUACUGGGUGUAAAGGGCGUGCAGCCGGGUCUGCAAGUCAGAUGUGAAAUCCAUGGGCUCAACCCAUGAACUGCAUUUGAAACUGUAGAUCUUGAGUGUCGGAGGGGCAAUCGGAAUUCCUAGUGUAGCGGUGAAAUGCGUAGAUAUUAGGAGGAACACCAGUGGCGAAGGCGGAUUGCUGGACGAUAACUGACGGUGAGGCGCGAAAGUGUGGGGAGCAAACAGGAUUAGAUACCCUGGUAGUCCACACUGUAAACGAUGAAUACUAGGUGUGCGGGGACUGACCCC